rnacentral:rRNA from 1 species
AUUGAACGCUGGCGGCAUGCCUUACACAUGCAAGUCGAACGGUAACGGGCCUUCGGGUGCCGACGAGUGGCGAACGGGUGAGUAAUACAUCGGAACGUGGCCGAUCGUGGGGGAUAACGAGGCGAAAGCUUUGCUAAUACCGCAUACGAUCUACGGAUGAAAGCAGGGGACCGCAAGGCCUUGCGCGGACGGAGCGGCCGAUGGCAGAUUAGGUAGUUGGUGGGAUAAAAGCUUACCAAGCCGACGAUCUGUAGCUGGUCUGAGAGGAUGAUCAGCCACACUGGGACUGAGACACGGCCCAGACUCCUACGGGAGGCAGCAGUGGGGAAUUUUGGACAAUGGGCGCAAGCCUGAUCCAGCCAUGCCGCGUGCAGGAUGAAGGCCUUCGGGUUGUAAACUGCUUUUGUACGGAACGAAAAGCCUUCUUUUAAUACAGGAGGGUCAUGACGGUACCGUAAGAAUAAGCACCAGCUAACUACGUG